rnacentral:rRNA from 1 species
CCUACGGGUGGCAGCAGUGAGGAAUAUUGGUCAAUGGACGAGAGUCUGAACCAGCCAAGCAGCGUGAAGGACCACGGCCCUACGGGUUGUAAACUUCUUUUAUAUGGGAGUAAAAUGUUCCACGAGUGGGAUUUUGUAUGUACCAUAUGAAUAAGGAUCGGCUAACUCCGUGCCAGCAGCCGCGGUAAUACGGAGGAUCCGAGCGUUAUCCGGAUUUAUUGGGUUUAAAGGGAGCGUAGGUGGAUUUUUAAGUCAGUUGUGAAAGUAUGAGGCUCAACAGUAAAAUUGCAGUUGAAACUGGCAGACUUGAGUUCAGUUGAGGUAGGCGGAAUGCGUGGUGUAGCGGUGAAAUGCUUAGAUAUCACGAAGAACACCGAUUGCGAAGGCAGCUCGCUGGGCUGCAACUGACACUGAUGCUCGAAAGUGUGGGGAUCAAACAGGAUUAGAUACCCGUGUAGUC